UUAAGUUAUUAAGGGCGCACGGUGGAUGCCUUGGCACUAGAAGCCGAUGAAGGACGUUACUAACGACGAUAUGCUUUGGGGAGCUGUAAGUAAGCUUUGAUCCAGAGAUUUCCGAAUGGGGAAACCCAGCAUGAGUUAUGUCAUGUUAUCGAUAUGUGAAUACAUAGCAUAUCAGAAGGCACACCCGGAGAACUGAAACAUCUUAGUACCCGGAGGAAGAGAAAGAAAAUUCGAUUCCCUUAGUAGCGGCGAGCGAAACGGGAAGAGCCCAAACCAACAAGCUUGCUUGUUGGGGUUGUAGGACACUCUAUACGGAGUUACAAAGGACGACAUUAGACGAAUCAUCUGGAAAGAUGAAUCAAAGAAGGUAAUAAUCCUGUAGUCGAAAAUGUUGUCUCUCUUGAGUGGAUCCUGAGUACGACGGAGCACGUGAAAUUCCGUCGGAAUCUGGGAGGACCAUCUCCUAAGGCUAAAUACUCUCUAGUGACCGAUAGUGAACCAGUACCGUGAGGGAAAGGUGAAAAGCACCCCGGAAGGGGAGUGAAAUAGAACCUGAAACCGUGUGCUUACAAGUAGUCAGAGCCCGUUAAUGGGUGAUGGCGUGCCUUUUGUAGAAUGAACCGGCGAGUUACGAUUUGAUGCAAGGUUAAGCAGUAAAUGUGGAGCCGUAGCGAAAGCGAGUCUGAAUAGGGCGUUUAGUAUUUGGUCGUAGACCCGAAACCAGGUGAUCUACCCUUGGUCAGGUUGAAGUUCAGGUAACACUGAAUGGAGGACCGAACCGACUUACGUUGAAAAGUGAGCGGAUGAACUGAGGGUAGCGGAGAAAUUCCAAUCGAACCUGGAGAUAGCUGGUUCUCUCCGAAAUAGCUUUAGGGCUAGCCUCAAGUGAUGAUUAUUGGAGGUAGAGCACUGUUUGGACGAGGGGCCCCUCUCGGGUUACCGAAUUCAGACAAACUCCGAAUGCCAAUUAAUUUAACUUGGGAGUCAGAACAUGGGUGAUAAGGUCCGUGUUCGAAAGGGAAACAGCCCAGACCACCAGCUAAGGUCCCAAAAUAUAUGUUAAGUGGAAAAGGAUGUGGCGUUGCCCAGACAACUAGGAUGUUGGCUUAGAAGCAGCCAUCAUUUAAAGAGUGCGUAAUAGCUCACUAGUCGAGUGACACUGCGCCGAAAAUGUACCGGGGCUAAACAUAUUACCGAAGCUGUGGAUUGUCCUUUGGACAAUGGUAGGAGAGCGUUCUAAGGGCGUUGAAGCAUGAUCGUAAGGACAUGUGGAGCGCUUAGAAGUGAGAAUGCCGGUGUGAGUAGCGAAAGACGGGUGAGAAUCCCGUCCACCGAUUGACUAAGGUUUCCAGAGGAAGGCUCGUCCGCUCUGGGUUAGUCGGGUCCUAAGCUGAGGCCGACAGGCGUAGGCGAUGGAUAACAGGUUGAUAUUCCUGUACCACCUAUAAUCGUUUUAAUCGAUGGGGGGACGCAGUAGGAUAGGCGAAGCGUGCGAUUGGAUUGCACGUCUAAGCAGUAAGGCUGAGUAUUAGGCAAAUCCGGUACUCGUUAAGGCUGAGCUGUGAUGGGGAGAAGACAUUGAGUCUUCGAGUCGUUGAUUUCACACUGCCGAGAAAAGCCUCUAGAUAGAAAAUAGGUGCCCGUACCGCAAACCGACACAGGUAGUCAAGAUGAGAAUUCUAAGGUGAGCGAGCGAACUCUCGUUAAGGAACUCGGCAAAAUGACCCCGUAACUUCGGGAGAAGGGGUGCUCUUUAGGGUUAACGCCCAGAAGAGCCGCAGUGAAUAGGCCCAAGCGACUGUUUAUCAAAAACACAGGUCUCUGCUAAACCGUAAGGUGAUGUAUAGGGGCUGACGCCUGCCCGGUGCUGGAAGGUUAAGAGGAGUGGUUAGCUUCUGCGAAGCUACGAAUCGAAGCCCCAGUAAACGGCGGCCGUAACUAUAACGGUCCUAAGGUAGCGAAAUUCCUUGUCGGGUAAGUUCCGACCCGCACGAAAGGCGUAACGAUUUGGGCACUGUCUCAACGAGAGACUCGGUGAAAUCAUAGUACCUGUGAAGAUGCAGGUUACCCGCGACAGGACGGAAAGACCCCGUGGAGCUUUACUGUAGCCUGAUAUUGAAAUUCGGCACAGCUUGUACAGGAUAGGUAGGAGCCUUUGAAACGUGAGCGCUAGCUUACGUGGAGGCGCUGGUGGGAUACUACCCUAGCUGUGUUGGCUUUCUAACCCGCACCACUUAUCGUGGUGGGAGACAGUGUCAAGCGGGCAGUUUGACUGGGGCGGUCGCCUCCUAAAAGGUAACGGAGGCGCUCAAAGGUUCCCUCAGAAUGGUUGGAAAUCAUUCAUAGAGUGUAAAGGCAUAAGGGAGCUUGACUGCGAGACCUACAAGUCGAGCAGGGUCGAAAGACGGACUUAGUGAUCCGGUGGUUCCGCAUGGAAGGGCCAUCGCUCAACGGAUAAAAGCUACCCCGGGGAUAACAGGCUUAUCUCCCCCAAGAGUUCACAUCGACGGGGAGGUUUGGCACCUCGAUGUCGGCUCAUCGCAUCCUGGGGCUGUAGUCGGUCCCAAGGGUUGGGCUGUUCGCCCAUUAAAGCGGUACGCGAGCUGGGUUCAGAACGUCGUGAGACAGUUCGGUCCCUAUCCGUCGUGGGCGUAGGAAAUUUGAGAGGAGCUGUCCUUAGUACGAGAGGACCGGGAUGGACAUACCUCUGGUGUACCAGUUGUCGUGCCAACGGCAUAGCUGGGUAGCUAUGUGUGGACGGGAUAAGUGCUGAAAGCAUCUAAGCAUGAAGCCCCCC
rnacentral:rRNA from 1 species